UACGGGGGGGGCAAGCGUUGUUCGGAAUUACUGGGCGUAAAGGGCUCGUAGGCGGCCAACUAAGUCAGACGUGAAAUCCCUCGGCUUAACCGGGGAACUGCGUCUGAUACUGGAUGGCUUGAGUUCGGGAGAGGAUGCGGAAUUCCGGGUGUAGCGGUGAAAUGCGUAGAUAUCUGGAGGAACACCGGUGGCGAAGGCGGCAUCCUGGACCGACACUGACGCUGAGGAGCGAAAGCCAGGGGAGCAAACGGG
rnacentral:rRNA from 1 species